rnacentral:misc_RNA from 1 species
CAAGGUUGUGGAUAUUGG